AAGAGUACUGUUUUGACAUAUAGCGGUGCUGUUGGGAACUAUCACUGUGCACAAUGCUUCCACUCGGGGUCCUAUCCGACCUUGUGUCCAGAAGUCCAAAGCCAAAAAUGAAAAUCUUUUAGUACUGUUUCUGGUCUGAUUCUGUGCUGAAUUGUUGAUUAGUUAAAUUCAUCUACAAUAUUUAUUUAUCAUUGAC